UACGUGAGCCCCGAGCGUUAUCCGGAAUUACUGGGCGUAAAGUGUGCGUAGGUGGCGUUGUUAGUCUUCUGUUAAAUCCUCUGGCUCAACCAGAGAACCCCAGAGGAAACGGCAAUGCUCGAGUGUGUAAGAGGUAAGCAGAACUCAUGGUGUAGGGGUGAAAUCCGUUGAUAUCAUGGGGAAUACCAAAUGCGAAGGCAGCUUACUGGUACAUUACUGACACUGAGGCACGAAAGCGUAGGUAGCGAAUGGG
rnacentral:rRNA from 1 species